UACGUAGGCAGCAAGCGUUGUUCGGAGUUACUGGGCGUAAAGGGUGUGUAGGCGGUCUACUAAGUCUGGUGUGAAAUCUCCCGGCUCAACUGGGAGGGUGCGCCGGAAACUGGAAGGCUAGAGUGCGGGAUGGGAGAGUGGGAUUCCUGGUGUAGCGGUGAAAUGCGUAGAUAUCAGGAGGAACACCUGUGGUGUAGACGGCUCUCUGGACCGCAACUGACGCUGAGACACGAAAGCGUGGGUAGCAAACAGG
rnacentral:rRNA from 1 species